GGAAAGAUGCCGGAGUGGUCGAUCGGGACGGUCUCGAAAACCGUUGUACUCUUACGGGUACCCAGGGUUCGAAUCCCUGUCUUUCCGCCA
rnacentral:tRNA from 2 species